rnacentral:rRNA from 1 species
AUUGAACGCUGGCGGCAGGCCUAACACAUGCAAGUCGAACGAGUGGCGGACGGGUGAGUAAUGUCUGGGAAACUGCCUGAUGGAGGGGGAUAACUACUGGAAACGGUAGCUAAUACCGCAUACCAUCGGAUGUGCCCAGAUGGGAUUAGCUAGUCGGUGGGGUAAAGGCUCACCUAGGCGACGAUCCCUAGCUGGUCUGAGAGGAUGACCAGCCACACUGGAACUGAGACACUGUCCAGACUCCUACGGGAGGCAGCAGUGGGGAAUAUUGCACAAUGGGCGCAAGCCUGAUGCAGCCAUGCCGCGUGUAUGAAGAAGGCCUUCGGGUUGUAAAGUACUUUCAGCGGGGAGGCGUUACUCGCAGAAGAAGCACCGGCUAACUCCGUGCCAGCAGCCGCGGUAAUUC